CGGUGGUGUGCUUCCCGUGAGCACUGCGAUUGCCCUAGAUCGGAAGGGGAUAUCGGUGGGGAGUCUGGCGGCGCGGUGAACCUCGUACCGUGCGCCCCGGCCCCCACCUCUUUAUAUAUCGCAGGUCACAGGGGCCCACCAACCAUAGAACGGUUGGGCGCCCCCGAUCAGGGCGCGAAUAGCUCAGGGCCCGAAGGGCCGUUGAGCCCACUCGGUGGAGAGAUCAACCUAACAUUCUCCCCCUUGAUCUCAACUUUUACUUUUGAGCUUAUACUUUCUAGUUUAUUUGUUUCAUCACAUAUUGGUACAUAGAGCAUGUUUCAUCAUCACAGCUUAAUUGCCAUUAGAAUCAUACAGCUACAACAUACAUUAUGACCAGAAGCAAAUUCGGUUCCUUUUGGGCCUAUCCAGGAAUCAUAAGGCUUUCCCUUAAACCCAUGCCGGCUAUGAGUUCCUUGAACACAUUGGGUGGUAAGCCUUUCGUUAGCGAGUCCGCAAGCAUAUCCUUUGUCCUUAUAUGCUCGAGACUUAUAGUUUGAUCCUGGAUUUUAUCUUUCACAACAUAAUACCUUAUCUCUAUUGUUUUGGCAGCAUUACUCGACUUGUUGUUGUGAGCGUAAAAUACUGUGGGUUGGUUGUCGCAAUACAUCUUUAGUGGCUUGUGAAUACAAUCUACCACUUUCAAGUCGGGUACAAAUUUCUUUAGCCAUAUCGCCUGCCCCGUGGCUUCGAAGCAUGCUAUGAAUUCUGCAUACAUCGUGGAUGAUGCAACUAUUGACUGUUUGGAGCUUUUCCACGAAAUAGCUCCCCUAGCGAGAGUGAAGACGUAUCCUGACGUGGAUUUUCUAUCUUCUCUGUCCCCCGCAAAAUCUGUGUCUCAAUACCCUUUUAUCUCUAGAGAUUCACUUCUCCUGUAUAUUAGCAUGUAGUCCUUCGUGCCUUGCACAUAACGCAAUGCUUUCUUUACCAUCUUCCAGUGCUCCAUGCCUGGAUUCUCUUGAUAUCGACCGAGUACCCCGGUGAUAAAGCUAAGUCAGGGCGAGUGCACACCUGUGCAUACUAUAAGCUGCCAACUGCCGAAGUAUAUGGUACUGCUUUCAUUUGAUCGAUCUCGUAUUGGUUCUUGGGACAUUGGAAUUUCCCAAAACUAUCGCCCUUGACUAUAGGAGCAGGUGUGGCUUUACUCGCAUGCAUAUUAUACUUUUUAAGAACCUUUUCUAAAUAUGCUUUAUGCGAUAGUCCUAAGACUCCACUGUUCCUAUCUCGGUGAAUUUCCAUGCCCAAAACAUAUGAUGCUUCACCAAGAUCUGUUAUGUCAAAAUUUGAGGAUAAGUAUUUCUUUGUUUCUUGUAGUAGACUAACAUCACUACUAGCAAGCAGGAUAUCAUCCACAUACAAGAUUAGGAAAAUAUAUUUCCCAUUUUUAAACUUUGCAUAAAUGCAAUUAUCCUCAAUAUUUUCUUUAAAUCCAAAACUUUUAAUCGUUUGAUUAAACUUUAGAUACCUCUGCCGAGAGGCUUGUCUUAAUCCAUAAAUGGAUUUCUUCAGGCGGUAUCCCAUAUUUUCCUUGCCUUCCAUGAUAAAACCCUUAGGCUGUUUCAUGUAGACAUUUUCUUUUAAAUCACCAUUCAGAAAUGCCGUCUUAACAUCCAUUUGAUGUAAUUCUAAAUCAAAAUGAGCAACUAAUGCCAUUAUGAUUCUGAAGGAAUCCUUACAUGAGACUGGAGAAAAUAUCUCAUUGUAAUCUAUCCCUUAUCUUUGUGUAAAUCCUUUUGCCACGAGUCGUGCUUUAUACUUUUCUAUAUUCCCUUUAGAGUCAUACUUAAUUUUGUAGACCCAUUUACAGCCUACUGUUUUGGCUCCUUUAGGAAUUUUCUCUAAGUCCCAAACAUCUUUGGAACUCAUCGAUUUCAUCUUGUCUUCCAUUGCCUUCAUCCACAUCGAUGAAUGAGGGCUUCUCAUGGCUUCUUCAUAUGAGGUGGGAUCUUUUUCCAUAUAAACCGUUUAUGUGUUAUAAACUUUAAAGUCAGUAGAAAUAGCUGACUUUCUUGGUCUUGUAGACCUUCUUAGGGCCUUAUUUUCUGGCACGUUCUGUGCCUCAACUUCUGGCACUUCUUCUAAAAUUUGCUAUUGCACCUCCCUUUCAUGCUCAACAAUGGGUUCAGUCGGCUCCUGACGGACAGGUUCCGGGUGUACCCCCAAGGUUGUCAUGGGUGGAGUUGCAACUGGUAGUGAGAAAAAUGGCUCCUGAAUCAUCGGAUUAGGUGCAUGCACCCCCUCAUCAUUUCGUCCUCAAAGAAGACUGUAUGUCUUGUUUCUACAAACUUUGUAUAUCUGUUUGGGCAGUAGAAACGAAAACCUUUUGAUCUGUCUGGAUAGCCAAUGAAGUGGCAACUAACUGUUUUGGGAUCUAACUUUGCAAUGUUUGGAUUAAACAUUUUGGCCUCAGCAGGGCACCCCCACACCCUGAAGUGUUGUAGGGAGGGUACCCUUCUUGUCCAUAGCUCGUACGGUGUUUUGGGCACCGACUUGCUUGGUACUCUAUUGAUAAUGUGAAUGGCGGUUUUAAGCGCCUCCAUCCAUAAUCCCAAUGGCAAGUUGGAAUAACUCAUCAUGCUGCGCACCAUAUCCAUAAGUGUACGGUUGCGCCUUUCAGCUACUCCAUUUUGCUGAGGUUUACCCGGCAUUGAAUACUGGGCAACUAUGCCAGUCUCCUGUAAGAACUUUGCAAAAGGUCCAGGGACUUGGCCAUAUGGAGUGUGCCGAUCGUAGUACUCUCCCCCACGGUCGGACCUUACUAUCUUUAUUCUUUUAUCAUGCUGAUUUUCAACUUCAGCUUUGAAUAUUUUAAAUUUAUCCAAUGCUUCAGAUCUUUCUUUGAUUGGAUAAAUAUAACCAUAGCGAGAGUAAUCAUCUGUGAAUGUUAUGAACGAGUCAUAUCCAUCCACACUUUUCACCGGAAAUGGUCCACAAAUGUCGGUGUGGAUGAUUUCUAGUGUGCUUGAGCUAUAGAUUGCACCUUUUUUGAUUUGUUUUAUAUACUUUCCUUUAAUGCAAUCUACACAUUGUUCUAAGUCUGAGAAUUCUAACUGUGGAAGAAUUUCACUUUUGACUAAUCUUUCUAUUCUCCCCUUCGAAAUAUGGCCCAAGCGACAGUGCCAUAAUUUCGAUGAGUCGAAUGUUCUCUUUCUUUUCUUUUGUUCUUUAUUCGACGCGGAAACAUGUUCAUUCACAUUGCAUACGGAAUGCACUUUUUCACGAAGUGAUAACAAAUAAAGCUCAUCAUGUAGUAAAGCAUUACCAACAUAAGCAUUAUUAUACCAGAUGGCACACUUGCCAUGUCCAAAAUAACACUCAUAAUUUUCUUUGUCUAAACAUGAAAUGCUAAUUAAGUUUCUAUUACAUGAAGGAACAUAAAGAACAUCUCUAAGUAGAAGCUUGAAUCCAUCAGCUAACUCCAAGGAGAUGUCGCCGGCAGCUUCAACUUCUGCUUUUAUUCCAUUGGCUACUUCAAUGCCUCCUUCUCUUCUUAGCGUAGUCCGGGUCGAAUGGAAUCCCUGUAAACAAUUUGCAACAUGAACAGUUGCCCCUGAGUCAAUCCACCAAGUAGAUUCCAAAAACUGUGUGUACACGGAUUCAUUUACUAAGGAAACAAUGUUGUUACCUUGCUUUGCCAUUAAGGACUUCAGCCAAACAGGGCAGUCUUUCUUGUAAUGCCCGGUCUGCUUACAGUGGAGACAAGUGUCUUUGUCCACUGGGAAAGACUGUUGCUGACGCUGAUGCUAAUAGGGAGCUUUUCCUUGUGGCUUUGAAGGAGAACUUUUGUUGUUUUGACUGUAGUUUUUUUCUUAUGAUCCUUCACAUAGUUGAGUGUUCCACCAUGUGAAGCUUUUAGUCUGUCCUCUUCUUGGACACACAUAGCAAUUGUCUUUUCUAUGUCCCAUGUUCCAGGUGACAUAUUAUAAUUCACAACAAAAGUUUCAAACUCCUUUGGCAGUGAAGCCAUGACAAGGUGGAUCAGGAGCUUUGGUUUGAUCUCCAGAUCCUCAUCCAUAGGCUUUAACUUUGCUGCCAUAUUGCUCAUCCUCAAGAUGUGCUCUCUUAUUCCACCACCCGUGUACUGUUCCGUCACAAGUUGUUUUAACACCUGAGUGGCAUAUAUCUUUGAAGAGCCAGUGAACUGGCUCUUUAUCUUUGUCAGCAACUCAGCUGCUGAAGUGCACUCUGCAAUGGAGCCCACAAUGUUGCUCUCAAUGGUAUUCUUUAUAAAGGCCAUGCAUUUUUUAUUUGCAUUGACCCACUUUUGGUUGGCUAUGAUGUAGGACAUCUCCAAAGGAGCAUAAUCCCCUUUCCUUUUAGCCCAUGCAGCAUCAUCCUCAGUAGUCCUCUUACUGGCUCUGUAGGUCUGACCGACUGUGGUUCUUCCAGAACCCAGUCCAGAUCAGCACAAACAAAUGCCAGUUCAACUUUCUUCCUCCACUCAGUAUGUUUGUCAUCUCUGAGUGUCGGAACUUCUUUUAGGCAACUCAUCAAGUGAAAGCCUCCUGAAAUCACAAUUUAAGUGACAUCAAUAUAACAAUCAUAUGCAUUAAUCUAACGUUGGUCAAAUUAAACAUAUAAUUGUCUAUGCAAAUAAAUCUAUAUUACCGUUGGGCAAAAUAUUAGAAAUAAAUGCACCUUUAAUUUCAAUAAUAAAAUAUGGUCAUGUUAUUAACAACGUUGGUCAUAAGAAUAACAUAAACAUAUUUAUUCUAAUUAUAACUUUAACAUGCUCUUUUAAUACAUCUCUCUAAACUUUUAUUUUCAAGAAAAAGAGCAAUAUUAAUUCUGUCCACAGCGGAAAAACAUGAAUAAAAUCAUGAACUUUUUAUUAUUUGCAGAAUUUUUUUUGAUCAAAUGAAAAAAUUCAUGAACUUAUUUAAUAAAAAUUCAUGAACAAUUCUUUUUCUGGAAAUUUUCUUUUUAUAUUUCCAAAGACUUUUAUACCUUUCUAUAUUUUCUAAACAAUAAAUUUCGCUGGAAAUAUGUAUUGCAUAGAAAACAAAAAACAAGACUUUUGAAUCUGCCCAAAACUGGACAGAAAACAUUAAAAGGAAAAAGCCUCAGACAGCUGUUGCCCCGCGGGCCUACUCGGCUCGCCGCGCUGUGCUAGCCGGCCCAGCCGCUCUGUCUUUCGGCCUGGUCCGCGGUCACUUUCGGCCCAAAAGGCCAGUGGGAGACUAGGGUUUUCAUCUGGACCGUCCAUCACGAUCGACGGCUGUCCGCUAAUUUCGCUGGAACAAAACAGAGAGUCCGAUCCCAGUCCAACCCUAGCGCCCCCACUCUCUACUCGAUCUGUUUCUCUGCUCGCUCAGUCUCUCCCGACGGCGGAGGAAACAAGGCUCGGCCACCGACCGUCCAGCCCGACCGCCGGCGACGGGGGCUAGAGCCACCGCGCCGCGCUAGCGCCUCCUUUCCGUUCCCCUUUCCUUUUCUCCACCUACUAUGGCAGAAAGGACCAGGCCCGGCUGCGCACGCUCUCCCUGCGCCGUUCGCGUCGUCCACCGGCCGGUCCUGCCGCCGGCGACGGGGAGCCGCGCCUCUCUUCCUUCCCCGUAGGGAGGUUUCGGCCGACGUCGCGCCAGCGACGGCGAGUUCAUGCCGCCGCGGCCACCCCGUCCUCUUUCCCCUUCCCGUUUCUGUCUUCUCCAUCUCCACUCCAACAGAGGGAGAGAGAGAUAUACUCCGACGGUGCCGUUGCCUCCCCUUCGCCGGUGGCACAUUUCCCUUAGCGGAAGCGUGCCGCUAUCGAACGGCGUGGCUGCGGUGCCAACUUUGAGCUUUUCCUUUGCCCUGUGAGGGGUGGAACCUUCGUCCGACGCCUCGGCUUGCCGAUGCGCGUCGAGAUCGAGAGGGUCGGCGCGGCCUUACGGCGACACUCUUUGCCGGCGAGGCCUGAGGCCCUCUCUGGUGGUCUUUGCCCUGUUCUAGGGUUCUUUUGGGGAGAGGGAUUUCUUUUUUUUGUCUGUUUUUUGUUUCUUUGUACCGAAAUCAUCUAGCCAGUGGCAUCUGAUACCAUUGAUAGAUCCUAUGGAUCGAGGUAGGCUAGAUCUUUCUGGUAACCUACCUUCCUUGGGUGCGGAUGAGCUCGAUCCAGCUCCUGCCAUGGUGGUGUGGUGACGGUGGCGCUGUGGACAGAGAUGGCGGCGGUGGUGUGCUUCCCGUGAGCACUACGAUUGCCCUAGAUCGGAAGGGGAUAUCGGUGAGGAGUCUGGCGGCGCGGUGAACCUCGUACCGUGCGCCCCGGCCCCCACCUCUUUAUAUAUCGCAGGUCACCGGGGGCCACCAACCAUAGAACGGUUGGGCGCCCCCGAUCAGGGCGCGAAUAGAUCAGGGCCCGAAGGGCCGUUGAGCCCACUCGGUGGAGAGAUCAACCUAACAAUCUAUUCACGAGCUUGACACCCAGUUGGUUAGUUUCAACAUUCCUGGUUAAUUAAUAUAUAGUUGGCACUAUGGAAUGAAGUAGAAGAGUUUGGUUACGAUAUCUUCCAAAUUUAAAUUUAUCAAAAGAUCUAAAUAGAUUACAAAGUGGGAUUCUUG
rnacentral:lncRNA from 1 species